UGAGGUAAUUGUUUAUUAGUGGCAACUACUUUCUGAUUCUCAUCUUUAGCCUUGUUUUCCCCCUUACAUAAGUACUUUUCUGGUAGAAAGAUUUCAUCAUCAACUCAACAAAGUUCCUUAACAAAGAAUCCGAGUGUGGACGUCACCCAGGCUUAUCAUGUUGGUUGCUUUCCAGAGGAAGCAUAGUCUCUCUCAUCCAUUUAUUUAGUUGUAUUCAGGUAUCCUUGCAGCUGAAUAAAUACAGUCGAACUUUUUUAUAUUUCUCUUUCACAGGCAGCAGAUUAUAUUUUCAGUUAUAAUCAUUGUCUGAGAAUAUCCUGUAAUCUUAUGUAGGAUUGUGUUAUUACUUUUUUCGGUUCAGCCGGAAAUGAGAGAGGGGGACUCUCUCUCUCUCUCUCUCUCUCUCAUUUUAUUUUAUUUUAUUUUAUUUUGUUAUGGGUCAUUUAGAAUGCUAAAGUCAAGAUCUUUGUUGUAAUAUUGAGCCUGAAGCCAUACAAGUUGCUAAUAGAAAACUUCUGGUUUCUGUUUC
rnacentral:lncRNA from 1 species